rnacentral:rRNA from 1 species
UACAGAGGGGGCAAGCGUUGUUCGGAAUUACUGGGCGUAAAGGGCGCGUAGGCGGCCUUCUAAGUCGAACGUGAAAUCCCUGGGCUCAACCCAGGAACUGCGUCCGAUACUGGAAGGCUUGAAUCCGGGAGAGGGAUGCGGAAUUCCAGGUGUAGCGGUGAAAUGCGUAGAUAUCUGGAGGAACACCGGUGGCGAAGGCGGCAGCCUGGACCGGUAUUGACACUGAGGCGCGAAAGCCAGGGGAGCAAACGGG